GACGAACGCUGGCGGCGUGCUUAACACAUGCAAGUCGAACGGUAAGGCCCUUCGGGGUACACGAGUGGCGAACGGGUGAGUAACACGUGGGUGAUCUGCCCUGCACUUCGGGAUAAGCCUGGGAAACUGGGUCUAAUACCGGAUAGGACCACUGCCUGCAUGGGUGGUGGUGGAAAGGUUUUGCGGUGUGGGAUGGGCCCGCGGCCUAUCAGCUUGUUGGUGGGGUGAUGGCCUACCAAGGCGACGACGGGUAGCCGGCCUGAGAGGGUGACCGGCCACACUGGGACUGAGAUACGGCCCAGACUCCUACGGGAGGCAGCAGUGGGGAAUAUUGCACAAUGGGCGCAAGCCUGAUGCAGCGACGCCGCGUGUGGGAUGACGGCCUUCGGGUUGUAAACCUCUUUCAGCACCGACGAAGCGCAAGUGACGGUAGGUGCAGAAGAAGGACCGGCCAACUACGUGCCAGCAGCCGCCGUAACAC
rnacentral:rRNA from 1 species